GAGUUGUGGUUAAGGCACUUUCUCGGGCUGGGAGUACAGACAGGAGGGCACUCAAUAUUUUUCUCUUGGCCUGGACGGGUUCUCUCUUUUCCAUUCUCACAAUGGCAGUGCUUUUGGCAAGAAUUAUCAAAUACGAAGAGAGGACCUGGGCCCUUAGAUCAGCCAUUUCCUCAUCUUCAUUGCAAUAAAUUCAUUCAAUGGAGAAAAUCCAAGUGAGCUUGGCGGGUAUAAACACAAAUCUUCUGUUUCCCCUGCACCUUCU
rnacentral:misc_RNA from 1 species